rnacentral:lncRNA from 1 species
AAAUGGCAUUCAGCAAAAACAAGUGACUGAGCAAGUAACUAUAUUCAGCAUUUGUCUUGUAGCUCUAUGUUAAACUUUGUCUUCUCUCUUUCCAUCAUGUUAAAGGGAUGAUAAGGAGUUUGGGAAGAGAGAACAAGAUGUACUCAGAUAAUACAGUGAUGAGAAGCAGUAUAUAACCCUCAGAUAGAAGGAUAAGAGCCUUGUGGGAGAAAUGAGUUUUAAGGAAAGAUUUGAAAGGCACAUUUUGGACCAUAGUGAAAAUAUGCCGCUUUCUUCAGUAACAAUCUACUAUGGGAUUGAUUGCCUGAGUAAUUUUCAUGCUUUGGUGCAUAGAUCCUGUGUGAACUGCUCAGUUUGGAGUCUUUACUAUUCAUUGAAUGCAUACAUCAACCUCUGAGGAAAGAAUUCCUGUAAACACAUCUAUUUUGCUUUAAGUCCCUGGGGGACACUCACUGUGAUCUACUUAUCCUAAAACUGGGACUCCUGUGCUGAAUAUGUUUCAUGAAGAAGAGCCAUCACCACUUU